rnacentral:rRNA from 1 species
CAAAGGAGUGAUCCGGUGGCGGAUGGGCAUGCGGCGCAUUAGCUAGACGGCGGGGUGACGGCCCACCGUGGCGACGAUGCGUAGGGGUUCUGAGAGGAAGGCCCCCCACACUGGGACUGAGACACGGCCCAGACUCCUACGGGAGGCAGCAGUGAGGAAUAUUGGUCAAUGGGCGGAAGCCUGAACCAGCCAAGUCGCGUGAGGGAUUAAGGCCCUGCGGGUCGUAAACCUCUUUUGCCGGGGAGCAGUGGUCCGGACGCGUCCGGGCCGGGAGAGUACCCGGAGAAAAAGCAUCGGCUAACUCCGUGCCAGCAGCCGCGGUAAUACGGAGGAUGCGAGCGUUAUCCGGAUUUAUUGGGUUUAAAGGGUGCGUAGGCGGGCAUUUAAGCCGGCGGUCAAAUGUCGGGGCUCAACCCCGGCCUGCCGUCGGAACUGGGUGCCUUGAGUGGGCGAGAAGUAUGCGGAAUGCGUGGUGUAGCGGUGAAAUGCAUAGAUAUCACGCAGAACCCCGAUUGCGAAGGCAGCAUACCGGCGCCCUACUGACGCUGAGGCACGAAAGUGCGGGUAUCGAACAGGAUUAGAUACCCUGGUAGUCCGCACAGUAAACGAUGGAUGCUAUCUGUCCGGGCCGAAUGAGGCCUGG